ACUCCUACGGGAGGCAGCAGUGGGGAAUAUUGGACAAUGGGCGAAAGCCUGAUCCAGCCAUGCCGCGUGUGUGAAGAAGGUCUUCGGAUUGUAAAGCACUUUAAGUUGGGAGGAAGGGCAGUAAGUUAAUACCUUGCUGUUUUGACGUUACCAACAGAAUAAGCACCGGCUAACUUCGUGCCAGCAGCCGCGGUAAUACGAAGGGGUGCAAGCGUUAAUCGGAAUUACUGGGCGUAAAGCGCGCGUAGGUGGUUCAGCAAGUUGGAUGUGAAAUCCCCGGGGCUCAACCUGGGAACUGCAUCCAAAACUACUGAGCUAGAGUACGGUAGAGGGUGGUGGAAUUUCCUGUGUAGCGGUGAAAUGCGUAGAUAUAGGAAGGAACACCAGUGGCGAAGGCGACCACCUGGACUGAUACUGACACUGAGGUGCGAAAGCGUGGGGAGCAAACAGGAUUAGAUACCCCUGGUAGGAUAGCG
rnacentral:rRNA from 1 species